rnacentral:rRNA from 1 species
GAUGAACGCUGGCGGCGUGCCUAAUACAUGCAAGUCGAGCGAACGGACGAGAAGCUUGCUUCUCUGAUGUUAGCGGCGGACGGGUGAGUAACACGUGGAUAACCUACCUAUAAGACUGGGAUAACUUCGGGAAACCGGAGCUAAUACCGGAUGAUAUUUUGAACCGCAUGGUUCAAAAGUGAAAGACGGUCUUGCUGUCACUUAUAGAUGGAUCCGCGCUGCAUUAGCUAGUUGGUAAGGUAACGGCUUACCAAGGCAACGGUGCAUAGCCGACCUGAGAGGGGGAUCCGCCACACUGGAACUGAGACGCGGUCCAGACUCCUACGGGAGGCAGAAGUAGGGAAUCUUCCGCAAUGGGCGAAAGCCUGACGGAGCAACGCCGCGUGAGUGAUGAAGGGCUUCGGAUCGUAAAACUCUGUUAUUAGGGAAGAACAUAUGUGUAAGUAACUGUGCACAUCUUGACGGUACCUAAUCAGAAAGCCACGGCUAACUACGUG